rnacentral:rRNA from 1 species
AGAGUUUGAUCCUAGCUCAGGGUGAAUGCUGGCGAUGUGGAUGAGUCAUGCAAGUCAAGGGGGCCGCAAGGCAACCGGCAGACGAGGUAGUAACACGUAGGUAGAUCCCCCGGAGUCGGGCAUAGCUUGCCGAAAGGCAAGGUAAUUCCCGAUAGUCCCGUGAGGGUAAAGGAGCAAUCCGCUCUGGGAGUCGCCUGCGUAGUAUCAGCUAGUUGGUAGGGUAACGGCCUACCAAGGCUACGACGCUUAGGGGAGCUGAGAGGCUGACCCCCACCGAUCGGACUGAGACACGGCCGAUACUCCUACGGGAGGCUGCAGACGAGAAUAUUCCGCAAUGGGCGAAAGCCUGACGGAGCGACAUCGCGUGAUGGAUGAAGUGCUUCGGUACGUAAACAUCUUUUAUCGGGGACGAAAUAAUUGACGGUACCCGAUGAAUAAGGGGCUCCUAACUCUGUGCCAGCAGGAGCGGUAAUACAGAGGCCCCAAGCAUUACCCGGAUUCACUGGGCGUAAAGGGUGUCUAGGCGGCCAUAUUAGUCGUUCGUUAAAUCUGCGGGCCCAACCCGCAGGCCGCGGACGAAACGGUAUGGCUCGAGGGCGCGAGAGGUGCACGGAACUCAUGGUGGAGGGGUGAAAUCCGUUGAUAUCAUGGGGAACACCGAAGGCGAAGGCAGUGCACUGGUGCGUUCCUGACGCUCACACACGAAAGCCAGGGGAGCGAACGGGAUUAGAUACCCCGGUAGUCCUGGCCAUAAACGAUGGGUACUAGAGAGUAGAUGCUCCGAUGUGUUUACUCUCGAAGCGAAAGUGAUAAGUACCCCACCUGGGGAGUAUGGUCGCAAGGCUGAAACUCAAAGGAAUUGACGGGGGCUCACACAAGCGGUGGAGCAUGUGGCUUAAUUCGAGGCUACGCGAAGAACCUUAUCCUAGGCUUGACAUGCACGGAUGCCGACG